UACGGGGGGGGCAAGCGUUGUUCGGAAUUACUGGGCGUAAAGGGCGCGUAGGCGGCCUUCUAAGUCGGACGUGAAAUCCCUCGGCUUAACCGAGGAACUGCGUCCGAUACUGAAAGGCUUGAAUCCGGGAGAGGGAUGUGGAAUUCCAGGUGUAGCGGUGAAAUGCGUAGAUAUCAGGAGGAACACCGGUGGCGAAGGCGGGUCUCUGGGCAGUAACUGACGCUGAGGAGCGAAAGCGUGGGGAGCGAACAGG
rnacentral:rRNA from 1 species